GAACUUACUGUCAGGGGAGAUACCAUGAUCAUGAAGGUAGUUUUCCCGGAGUGAGGCUUAUCCAUUCAUUCCAGAUGUGCUGACCCCUGAAAUUUCCCCAAAUGUGGGAAACUUGACUGUGUAAUUUGUGGUAGUGGGGGACUGCGUUUGAACUCUCACCUG